rnacentral:lncRNA from 1 species
AAUUGUUAAAAACUAAUACAAUUCAUGCCUACAUUGUUGACCACAGUGAAACAGUCCUAUCUAGAUAUUAACUAUAAACAAAAAUAUUUGGUGGGUUUUCCUCACCACUCCUACCAAGGGUAUAUUGGUAAAUUACUACCGAGGGUAUAUUUUAUUAUAUAUAAUUGAAAAUAAAUGGGUAAAAUUGUAAAGAAGAAUUGUGUUUGUCAAUAACAUUUUGCCUUCGAAAUUUAAGAUAAUUUUUUUUAGUUUAAAAUUUUUAAAGUGCUAGAAUUUAUAGUUGCUUUGUUUAUUUUUACAUAUUUAAUUACUAAAUUUCAUGCAAUUAGCUUAAAAUUUUUAAAAUUAAAGUAUAGUUGACUAAAUCAAAUCUAACUUAUUGAAAGUUUGGAUAGUCAAAUUAGAAUAUGACAGGUUGAAUAGUUAAUUUAAAAUAGUUGAUAAUUUAGACAAAAUCUGUUUGCUUUUAUUAAAUAAAUAAGCAAAAAAAAUAAAUAAAUAAAUAAUUUGUUUUACAAUUAAAGUGUAGUUCACUUGAUCAAAUCUAACAUAUUGAAAGGUUGGAUAGUAAAAUUAGAAUAUGACCGAUUGCUUUUGUUAAAUAAAUAAGCAAAAAAAAUUAUAAAUUUAUUAAAUAAUUUGUUUUAAAAUUAAAGUGUAGUUUACUGAAUCAAAUCUAACGUAUUGAAAGGUUGGAUAGUAAAAUUAGUUUAAAAUUUUAAAAGUGCUAGAAUUUAUAGUUGCGUCGUUUAUUUUUACAUAUUUAAUUACUACAUUUCAUGCAAUUAACUUAAAUUUUUUAAAAUUAAAGUGUCGUUGACUGAAUCAGAUCUAACAUAUUGAAAGUUUGAAUAGUAAAAUUAGAAUAUGACCAAUUGAAUAGUUAAUUUAAAAUAGUUUAUCAUUUAGACAAAAUUUGUUUGCUUUUAUUAAAUAAAUAAGGAAAUAAAAAUAAAAAUUUAUUAAAUAAUUUGUUUUAAAAUUAAAAUGUAGUUUACUGAAUCAAAUCUAACAUAUUGAAAGGUUGGAUAGUAAAAUUAGAUUAUGACCGGUUGAAUAGUUAAUUAAAAAUAGCUUAUAAUUUAGACAAAAUCUGUUUGCUUUUAUUAAAUAAAUAAGCAUAAAAAUUAAAAUUUUAUUAAAUAAUUAGGAAUUUCCAACGUGGAAAUUGGAUGUUCCAGAACCAAAAUACAACCUUCCUCAGAUAUAUGCAGUCCAUACAAUCAUGUGUACUCAUCAUUUGGACCCCUUCGUAUGGAUUUAUCCCUCAUCCAAUCAGAUUUCUUCACGUGGCAUUACUCUGAUCUAAUAUCGUAUCAUCGUAGUGUUAUCUAUUUCCGAUUAAAACCCUAAUAUCGGGAUGAGCAUUAUACGGUCUGAUUCGGUCGAAUCAGUUGUUUGAUUUAGUUUUACAUAUAAUUCGAUUUGGCUCGAUUCUAAAAGCUAAAAGAAUCAGUAAAAAAAAUAUAUAAAAUUUAAGCAAUUCACUAUAUAUAUAUAUUAGUCUUAAAUUAAAAUAUUACGUAUUGGUUUAUAAAUAAUAAUCAAAUAAUUACAUAUAUUAAUUAUUAUUAUUUCGGUUUGGUUCAGCUCGGUUUAUGCAUCUAAUUCAAUUUUUAAAAAAUACAAAUUUUGAACUGAGAUGAUCUCUAUUGAACAUACCAUUAUGUACGACAUUAAUUAGGGAAAAUUUAGAUAAAUAAACUAAAAAAUAUGAUUUUUUUGCACUUAUAUCCUCUGAAAAUAUACAUAUAUCUCCAUAUAUUAAACAAUUUAUCAAAAUUAUUUAAAAUAGUUUGCAUUUAAACUUAAGGUUUAUUGAAAUUUUCUGAUUAGAUGCAAAAAAAAAAUAUUAUAAUUAAUUCUAUUAAUGAAGGACUAGAAAAUCGAAAAUGUGAUAUUUUCAUCUUCUAAGCUUUCGACAAACCAAGAGGUUUCUCCGAGAAACAAAGAGUUAACAGAUUCAACGAAGAGAUGCCUCUUAUAAGUAACGAAGAGAUUAAACCAAAAAACGAAAAGGUUGCUACUAAAAAUGAAUAGAUUUAAUAGAUGAGUGUGAAUUCUGAAUUAAUUUAAGACAAUAAUUACACCAAAAAACGAAAAGGUUGCUCCUAAAAACGAAUAGGUUUAAUAGAGGAGUGUGCAUUUUAAAUUAAUGCAAUAAUAGUAAUAAUUAAUAAAUAUUAGUAAAUAUUUAUAAUUAAAUUUUAAAUUUCUCUAUGUUUUUUCUAUAUAUAAAAAGGUAUUGUCGGCAUAAGCAAUGGCAUCAAUUAGGACUUGAAUAUAAAGAGGUAAAAGACUUUUAGAAGGAGAUAUCUAAAGAGAAAAAAAGACUUUUGGAGGUAGUUAUGCUGAAUAUUACGUAGAUUUAAUAAAUAUUAGUAAAUUUUUAUAAUUAAAUUUUAAAUUUCUCUAUGUUUUUUCUAUAUAUAAAAAGGUAUUGUCGGCAUAAGCAAUGGCAUCAAUUAGGACUUGAAUAUAAAGAGAUAAAAGACUUUUAGAAGGAGAUAUCUAAAGAGAAAAAAAGACUUUUGGAGGUAGUUAUGCUGGAUAUUACUUGGAUUUGAUCAAGUUGUUGAUAUUUAUUUAAUCGGUCUUCAUAAACUUACUUACUGAGCGGUUAGUUUUGAAUAUAUAUAUAUUUUUUUAGUUAAUAUGCAUGCUUUGGUAAAAUUGUUUUUUAGUCAGACUUGUUUGUAUAAAAUAAAAUCAUACUUGUAAUAUUUUUUUUUUAUUUGCUUUCAUAUAUUUCGAUGAUUUGAUGAAUUAACUUUAUAGUAAUCUAUUAUCAAUUUCUAAAUUUAUCUCUUUCCUUUUUUUAUGAUUCUACUUUUUAAAUUUUACUAAAAUUACAAAAUUUUCUUCUCUUCGAUGCCUACUAAUUCUUUAAUUUUUUCUCUUUAUGUAGAAAAUGUCAUUAGCAUAUAGUUAUCUUCAACAUUGGGUUGAUGAUGAGGAAGGUAUGCAGCUGCCAACUGAUAUUUUAAUGGAAAUUUUCACUAGAGUUGAUUUGGCUACUCUAUACUCGUCUCGAGCUAUCUCUUUCUACUUCAACAGAGCAACUUACAUCUUUGAAUUUAUGUUGCGUCGUUGUCAAAGGUUGUCUGGAACAUUUGGUUUGUUUGUACAACAAUUUGAUACAAGCUUACCUGUGGAAUUUACCCCGGCACAUAACGCUUUGGUUUUGCCAAAUUUUAAUUUGGGAUUUAUGCCGGAGAUUGUUCAUAUUCUUUCAUCCUCAUUGAAUGGAUGUUUGUUAUGUUCAAAUAAUAAUCUUCAGUAUCCAAGAUUCUAUAUAUGUCGUCCCACUAGCAAAGAAUGGGUUAAGCUACCUAAUCCUAGGACUAGGUACCACUCCAAAGGUUUUGCUUUGAUCGUGCAUGGGUCCUCACCUCACCACUAUAAAAUUCUACGAUUGUCUUGGUCGCAUUUUCCUAGAUCAAAUAUGGUCGGUGAAUUAUUUGAUUCGGUACAAUGGAAUUGGCAAUGGUGUGGUGAAACUUGCCUAGAUGCAACUCAUUCUUUAGGCUUGGAGGGACCGUUUUCGGUUGGCCGUUAUUUGUAUUGGAUGGUAAAUACUUCUAAGAUCUUUGUGUUUGACUUACGGACUUUUAAUUCGCAUUUCAAAGAACUACCAAACCAAGCUCGCUAUUGUCCUAUAUAUCCUUGCAAAAAAGAGUUGGCGAGUCGCGAUGGAGGCCUUGAUUUACUACAUACUUGUCUCGACACAAUGGAUAUUUGGAACCUACCAUCAUAUAACUCAGCUUGGGUUUUUGUUGCUAGAGCGCGUCUCAGUCCCUUAUUGGUAAACUCUAUAUUCUACAGUACCACGAUUUUUCGAACGUAUAAUAAAAUGUUUAUAGUCUCCGCCGAUGGCAUUUUCUUUAUGGACAUACAUCAUCGUGCUGUUGGGAUUUUAAGCUUGAGUGAUAAUCAUCCAAAUGGAACAGAGAUCUAUAUUUACCAUUCUGCAUUUUCUGGAGAGAGAAUUAUUUGGAACGAAAGAACUCCUUCUGGAUACAAUGGCAACUGGAUUGUUCAAAAUAAUCAGAUUCAGUUACAGUAAUAUAAUAGUUGUUUUUUGUACCUUUCUCAAGCAACAUAUAUAAAUGUUGUUUGAUGAUAUUUCUAGCAUUUUGUUUGCUUUUCUAAAUGUUUCAGUUUUUUUUUUCUUUUUUUUUUGUUUUAUAGUACUGAUGUAUAAAACAUUUUCUAUAUUAAUGCAAAUCUUAAGUUUGACCAAUGCAGUUCACAGUCAUAGGGAAUGCAUUUUUUGUGAUGGGGAAUGUGCGACAUAUGGAUUUUGAGGAAAUAUGAUUAUACGGAUGGACAAAAAAUGUCCAAUUCUUACAGUACCGGUAACCUGUACCAAAAGGACUUGAGUUAGUCAAUUAUAAUUGCCUUUUCAAGCUAUAAAAUAUAUUAGAACACAGAUAUAGGAUUUGUGUAUGACUCCUUAUGGUAUCUAUUUAGAUAUGAAUUGCUUACUUCUUAACAUUUUCUCCCUUUACUACUACAUCUCUUUAAAAUCUAUUUUUUCCGUGCUAUUCCCACUAUCUAAUUUACUCUCACAAUUUCAGUAUAUGUAAAUAAAAGGAUAAAUUAAGAUAUAUUAAUUUAUCAUAGUAUACAAUUCAGUGUGAUGCAAAAGAAAGUUUACUAUAAUUUAUUUUUUCUCUUACUAAGAACACAUACUUAUGUCAUUUACAUUUCAUGUGUUUUUUUCAUAUACUUUAUCCAGUUUAAGAAAUAAUAUUGAAUAAAAUAUUUCUGAUUUAUGAAUUACAGUUAGAUAUAUGCAAUUUAUUAUUAAUAUUUGUAUGCUUACUUCUUGCGUUGUGAUCAUUGCGAGCCAUUGUACUUAAUAAGUCCUUACUGUACUUAUUUAAGCAAGUUUAUAAAACAAUUCUUAAUCAGUACAUUUUUUAACUACUUUUUUAGUACUGAUCAUUGCGAACCAUUGUGUUUAAAAUAUAGUUAAAAAAAAUAAGUACUCUCGUUUUUGAAUUAUAGUUACAUAUAUGCAGUUUAUUAUUAAUAUUUGUAUGCUUAGUUCUUGCAUUUUGAACAUUGCAAACCAUUGUACUUGAUAGAAUAACUAAGCAUACAAAUAUUAAUAAUAAACUGCAUAUAUGUAACUAUAAUUCAAAAACGAGAGUACUUAUCUUUUUAUAAUCGAAAAUUUUCAAAUACCACUAUUGUAUUUUCACAUUUUCUCAUUUUAGUAGCACAAAUUUAGUGCCGUGUGGUUUUAUUUUAAUCUUUUGGUGGGUUUUCCUCACCACUCCUACCAAGGGUAUAUUGGUAAAUUACUACCAAGGGUAUAUUUUGUUAUUUAAAAAUAAUAAAAUAGUUGAGANAACACAUACUUAUGUCAUUUACAUUUCAUGUGUUUUUUUCAUAUACUUUAUCCAGUUUAAGAAAUAAUAUUGAAUAAAAUAUUUCUGAUUUAUGAAUUACAGUUAGAUAUAUGCAAUUUAUUAUUAAUAUUUUGUAUGCUUACUUCUUGCGUUGUGAUCAUUGCGAGCCAUUGUACUUAAUAAGUCUUUACUGUACUUAUUUAAGAAAGUUUAUAAAAUAAUUCUUAAUCAGUACAUUUUUUAACUACUUUUUUAGUACUGAUCAUUGCGAACCAUUGUGUUUAAAAUAUAGUUAAAAAAAAAUAUAGUUAAAAAAAAUAAGUACUCUCAUUUUUGAAUUAUAGUUAUAUAUAUGCAGUUUAUUAUUAAUAUUUGUAUGCUUAGUUCUUGCAUUUUGAACAUUGCAAACCAUUGUACUUGAUAGAAUAAGUACUGUGAUAGACUUUCUUUUUAUAAUCGAAAAUUUUCAAAUACCACUAUUGUAUUUUCACAUUUUCUCAUUUUAGUAGCACAAAUUUAGUGCCGUGUGGUUUUAUUUUAAUCUUUUUGAUAUCAAAUCCACUAAAUUUUUUCGUUAAAUCAGUGACAAAGUUAAAACUAUAACAACAAAAAAUUGGUGGGUUUUCCUCACCACUCCUACCAAGGGUAUAUUGGUAAAUUACUACCAAGGGUAUAUUUUGUUAUUUAAAAAUAAUAAAAUAGUUGAGAACGUAGGCAAUAGUUUUUCCUUUGAAAAUAAAUGGGUAAAAUUGUAAAGAAGAUUUGUGUUUGUCAAUAACAUUGUGCCUUCGAAAUUUAAGAUAAUUUUUUUAGUUCAAAAUUUUUAAAGUGCUAGAAUUUAUAGUUGCGUUGUUUAUUUUUACAUAUUUAAUUACUAAAUUUCGUGCAAUUAGCUUAAAUUUUUUAAAAUUAAAGUGUAGUUGACUAAAUCAAAUCUAACUUAUUGAAAGUUUGGAUACUCAAAUUAGAAUAUGACUGGUUGAAUAGUUAAUUUAAAAUAGUUGAUAAUUUAGAGAAAAUCUGUUUGCUUUUAAUAAAUAAAUAAUCAAAAAAAUAAAAAAAUAUUAAAUAAUUUGUUUUAAAAUUAAAGUGUAGUUCGCUGAAUCAAAUCUUACAUAUUGAAAGGUUGGAUGUCUAAUUUUAUAAUUUAUACAAAAUCUGUUUCUGAAAGGUUAGAUAGUAAAAUUAGAAUAUGACCGAUUGCUUUUGUUAAAUAAAUAAGCGAAAAAAAUAAAAAAAAAUAGUAAAUAAUUUGUUCUACUAAUAAUACUUGUACUUGCUCUGCUAUUCUGCCCAAGCCUGGCUGAGGAAGAGUUACGGGGAGUAAAACACAAAUAUGCUGAUUCCGGCCUUGGUUACUAUAUGUAAUGCUCGAAUUAUUCACGAUAAAUAAAAAGAAAAAGUAAGACCAUUCCAUUUCGACAAAAGAUCAUACCCAAGUUCAAUAGCUUUGCGUCCGCUAUCCCGAUCAUGAUUUUCCUACCCCCAGAGGUAAAGUAAGGGGCCUUCCCUUUUGGGAAGGCUGUUGGCGAGGAGGGAUUCGAACCCCCGACACCGUGGUUCGUAGCCACGUGCUCUAAUCCUCUGAGCUACAGGCCCCACCCCGUCUCCACUGGAUCUGUUCCCGGGAGUACCCUCAAAAAGGAACCUUUCCUCUCCUCAGCCAUUUCGGGUUAAGAAGAUGUGAAAGCGCCUUUCUCUCUAUAAGAACAGUGCGUUUCGAGGUGUGAAGUGGGAGAGAAGAGAUGUCAUAAUUGAGGUUUUGAAUAAGACGACCUUUGCAUUUUGGAUUUUGAUCUUUUUCGUAUUGAAAAAUAUUUUCAAAGUCAAAUAAGAGGUGUUAAGCUUUUUAUCAUUCUGGCGUCGAGCUAUUUUUCCGCAGGACCUCCCCUACAGUAUCGUCACCGCAGUUCAAAUCUAACAUAUUGAAAGGUUGGAUAGUAAAAUUAGUUUAAAAUUUUAAAAGUGCUAGAAUUUAUAGUUGCGUCGUUUAUUUUUACAUAUUUAAUUACUACAUUUCAUGCAAUUAACUUAAAUUUUUUAAAAUUAAAGUGUGGUUGACUGAAUCAAAUCUAAUAUAUUGAAAGUUUGAAUAGUAAAAUUAGAAUAUGACCAAUUGAAUAGUUAAUUAAAAAUAGUUUAUCAUUUAGACUAAAUUUGUUUGCUUUUAUUAAAUAAAUAAGGAAAUAAAAAUAAAAGUUUAUUAAAUAAUUUGUUUUAAAAUUAAAAUGUAGUUCACUGAAUCAAAUCUAACAUAUUGAAAGGUUGGAUAGUAAAAUUAGAUUAUGACCGGUUGAAUAGUUAAUUAAAAAUAGCUUAUAAUUUAGACAAAAUCUGUUUGCUUUUAUUAAAUAAAUAUGCAUA